rnacentral:tRNA from 1 species
GGGGGAUUGGCGGAAUUGGCAGACGCAUCGGAUUUAAGUCCCGAUGGUGGUACACCGUAUCGGUUCGAGCCCGAUAUCCCCUA